rnacentral:lncRNA from 1 species
UCAUAUAUUCAUUUAACAAAUAUUUACCAAGUGCCAAUCAUGUGUCAGGAAACGUGCCAGGUGCUGAGAAUAAGAAGGGCCAUAAUCGGCUUCAUUAGUUUCUGCCCUCUUUAUUUUCUUACGUUUUUGCUUUGUAGGGCUGCACCUGAGGCAUAUGGAGGUUCCCGGGCUAGGGGUUGAAUGGGAGCUACAGCCACCCACCUACAGCCACGGGAUGGAACCCGCAACCUCAUGGUUCCUAGUCGGAUUCAUUAACCACCAAGCCACAAUGGGAAUUCCUUGAAUUGCACUCGUAUCAGUGUAGACGGUCCUGUCUGAUUAAGGUUCUUUUGUGUGUGGGGGGGGUAUCUUUAACUGAUACUAUUGGUUAAGCAGCCAGUUGUAAAGGCAGACAAAGCCACGGAGAUAGUCACAAUGAAAUUAUAUUUUGCUUUACAAUCAAGAAAGAUACCGCCUUACCCGACACAAAGUGCAGGAAAGUAGGUAGCCUCUAUCAAGUCAAAGGCCUUCUGAGUCAGAGGGAAACUAUUUACAUAUUUUAACUGCCAAAGAAAUGCAAACUCUAAUCAAGUGAUAAGGCGCCUGGAACAGAGGUCUCGUCUCCUAUCAGGAGCCACAAAGAAUAAAUAAAACAUAAUUUGAAUUUGAAUCUAAGGCACAAGGACAUGACCACUUCCUGCAUCAAGCUGCAAAGACAGUGUCGCAGAGACACUACAAAGACUUCUGAACCUAGAAUGCUAUACCCCGGCAAAGCAUCAGUAAGGCAGAAGGCGAAACAGAGGGAUCCUCAGAGGCUGGACCAUGCCUGGACCAUCGUGGUUGUAAAGGCAGCCACAGCAAGAGGUGCUCCAGCCACAGCAAGAGGUGCUCCAGGACCUCCUCCCUGCCCACAGUCUCUGUUGCUUAAGAAACCUCAGCAGGCUGAGAAGGCAACCCCAAAGUUACAUGGGAUAAAAAUCCCAAUACUGUUUAUUAUCUGGACGAUAACACUUGGGUAAACAUUUUAAAUUUGAGAAAGGUUUAGAAUCAAGUAGAGAAAUAGUGAAAAUAAUGAAGCAAGUAGUAAUAGUAUUAUGGAUUAAGAAAUACGUGCACUUUGGAGUUACGUGUUUAAUGUUCCAGAGAACUGGACCCACCAAGGGUUAUAGAGCGGCCUCGUGGUUCCGAUUUAAAAUGUGUAACUGGAAUGUGUACAAUGCGUAAAUGAGUCCC